rnacentral:lncRNA from 1 species
UGGGGACGACUGGCUGGUGGAAUCCUUGCGCUUGUACCAGGAUUUCUAUGCAUUCGACCUGUCAGGAGCCACUCGAGUCCUUGAAUGGAUUGAUGACAAAGGAGUCUUUGUUGCUGGCUAUGAAAGCCUGAAAAAGAAUGAAAUUCUUCAUCUGAAAUUACCUCUCAGACUUUCUGUAAAGGAAAACAAGAUUGCUGGUUACCAGUGGCCUUCCAGGUUGUUAUCUGCAGGUGUGGCAGGUUGCAGAGGACAGUGAUGUCAUUAAAGCUGUCAGCACCAUUGCUGUGCAUGAGAAAGAGGAGAGUCUCUGGCCUAGGGUGGCCGUCUUCUCCACAUUGGCACCCGGAGUCCUCCAUGGGGCGAGGCUCCGAAGUCUGCAGGUCGUUGAUCUGGAGUCCCGGAAGACCACGUACACCUCAGAUGUCAGUGACAGUGAGGAGCUGAGUAGCCUGCAGGUCCUAGAUGCAGACACCUUUGCCUUCUGCUGUGCUUCAGGCCGGCUGGGGCUUGUUGACACCCGGCAGAAGUGGGCACCGUUGGAGAAUCGCAGCCCUGGCCCUGGGUCUGGUGGAGAGAGAUGGUGUGCUGAAGUUGGGAGCUGGGGCCAGGGCCCUGGGCCCAGCAUUGCCAGCCUUGGCUCAGAUGGGCGUCUUUGUCUUCUUGACCCCCGGGAUCUCUGCCAUCCUGUGAGCUCAGUCCAGUGCCCAGUAUCCGUACCUAGCCCUGACCCAGAGCUGCUGCGAGUGACUUGGGCCCCAGGCCUGAAGAAUUGCUUGGCCAUCUCAGGU